rnacentral:rRNA from 1 species
UACGGAGGGUGCUAGCGUUGUUCGGAAUCACUGGGCGUAAAGGGCGUGUAGGCGGUCUGUUAAGUCUGAUGUGAAAUCCCCUCGCUCAACGAGGGAACUGCGUCGGAUACUGGCAGACUUGAGUACCGGAGAGGAAGGUGGAAUUCCCGGUGUAGCGGUGAAAUGCGUAGAUAUGGGGAGGAACACCGGUGGCGAAGGCGGCCACCUGGACGGUAACUGACGCUGAGACGCGAAAGCGUGGGGAGCAAACAGG